CCGGCUGGCCGCUCACGCGUCGGGCCCCCAUUUACUCUCGUUACUGAGGAGACACGGCUCCAGUUUUGACCCGACUACGGUUGUUUUCUUCGUGUGUACCGCGAAAUGCUGAUGACGUCCGGUUCCGCGCAGUUUUUUUCCUAUUUCGUUUCCAACCACAGUUGUGCGGUUCACAGAUUUUUCCCUUGGGAUGUGUUUUCCAUACCUCCAAGCCCACUCUCAGAGCCUUGGGGCCCCAUAAAACUUCAUGCGCAGCUGCUUUCUGGUAUUUGCAGACCUGGAAGGCUUCUCGUAUUCUUAAUUUGGGGAAGAGAGACAUAGGUUUCCUUGUACAACGGGAUGAGGAUUUAAGAGCAGAACGACACUGAUAUUUUAAAGGCGAGGGUAUUUAGAUUUGUGGAGCUGAAACUUGCCUGAAAAGGGAGACAAAAUUUGGAAGUUUGUUGUGUGCAGUUUCUGCCCCUUACCCCCGCCCUUCACUUUUAAACUGCGCAUAUAUCAACAAUAGUUACGGUUGUUGCAGCAGUCUAAAUUUGAUUAUCAGAAUUGACCCUAGGCAUGAAUUUUUUUUUAAAUAUACCAAUGUCGUGUUAUAUACACUUAUACCAUUAUGUCCAGACUUCUCUUAAGCAUAGUUCGUGGUGGGCAGUUUUGUGGUCAUUUAGGGAUGAACUUGGGUAGGGAAAGCUGAGCAUACAUAAUUUAUUUUAGGAAUGCACCAGUUCUGCCAACAUUUAUCAGAAGUCACGUUUUUAAAAAGCUAUUCUGGAACUGAAGAUGUCAUUGGUUUAUAAGAGGAAAAUGGAAGCCAAAAGCUUACACCUCAUGCUCUAUCUUUAAAAAUUAAGGUGGCAGACACAAUGAGUAGAAGGCUUUUAUGUUACCAGAAUGAAGGCUUAAAAUCUGUCAUUUUAUUGACUCGGCUUUCUUUUUAGAAAUUUCUUUAAGAUAUAAAAGCAAUGUGGAAUAUCACUCUUUCACACUCUUAAAAUAGAUUACGUUCUCUGGAACUUCUCUAAUCUGAAAUGUGUUCAAAAAGGAAAAAGAUCUUUAAAAUACGCCAGUUAGUCUAUGGUAUAAUAUUAAACACUAUUCAUCACUAGAGAAGUUAUGGUGGUAUACCCUCCCCUUUCUCAGAUGUCCACCUUAAUGCCAGAAAUGAGCGGAGUUUCCCUUUGUUGUGCAAAAUGACUGUGUCCUUGAGGGAUGUUUGGAUGCUCUUGGUAAACCGGAAUCAGCCAGAAGCAUAUCCGGUGUUAGCCUUGUUGUGUCAUCAACAUUACAACAGUGAGGAAACCCACAUAUUCCAAUGAAAGAGGAAAACUUAAAGAAGAAGUUUCCAGUGUAUUUUCUUUGAGAUAUAUUUAUUCCUAUGACCUCAGAAGAUCAGCUUUUACCGUCCAAGGUUCACUUUGCCUAAAAGCUGAUUGUUCCUGUGGAAACAGUAGCAUCGGAUGACCCUACAAACAAAGCAUUAUGACAUCAUCAGAGCCAACAACCUGGCAUGACAGAUACUAAUAAGGAAAAAAGAGGUUACAAGAAUUCUGACACUCAUCACAGUGGAUCCAAUAUCUGGUCCCUUGGGUUUCAUAUAUGUUAGAAGUAUCUUCUCAGGAGGGAAAAGUCAAUGCCAGUCAUAUCCUUUCUAGCUAUUAGAAAUGUCCAUCAGCUUACGAGGAGAUUCUCCCUCAUCUCACAAACUACCUGCAUCUCCACUUCCCUGGAAGAAAAAAAAAAUCUGGACAUACCCAAGCUGUGUAUGUGCCUGAGAUCUUCCCUUCCAAGGUAAAGAGAGAGCCUGAGACAGGUCUAAAUUAGCAUCUGGACUUUCUGCUAGUAAAGAAAAGGAAAUAUGGGAAACUAAAUAGUAACAUUAAAGGACCCACAAAGGGACUACUGGGUAAGUGCUAUAAUGGAUAAUGUAAUGUGAUUUAUGAAUGCUUUUGUUCUAGUGAUUUAUUAAACUGGGAAGUCAGAAGCAGUCCUGUGAACAUUUGUUUGUUGAAGCAUGAAAAGGCAGAAUUGAUGAGUCCUUGCUUGAGUCUAUGCCUCCACCCAGUAGUUUGUUCUUAGUCUCCUAGGGGCUGAUCUCAGCAGAGAAAUGGAGACAGUUCAGUCACCAACAGUUUGUUACUGGAUUUUGGAAAAGGUACCAAAGUAAGAAUCCAAGGCUUGUAUUCUUAUCUUAGCUCUGUGAUUAACAAGCUUAGCAUUGUGGCUGCAGUGUGGGGGUGGUCAGCCCCGCCCAGGUCACGUGUAACGAGACAUCCCAGAAGGAAGAAGCUUCUUAAACUAAAAUGGGAGGAGAUAAGAGAUGCCAGAGAAACAUAAACUACAGAUGUCCACUACUACAAGGAAUAUAUUCAGUAUAUUCAGCAGACAAUUCUACACCACAAGUUUCCGGCCCUUAAGCUGAGAGAAGGUGGGGAGAAACUCUCAUUUAAGUAGAAGUUUUUGAUUGUGAUAACAUUAGAUGGC
rnacentral:lncRNA from 1 species